AGAAACGUUCACUCUUGCUUAUGUGAAGCUUGGGUAAGGUUGAAAAUAAAUAAUUGGAGCUUGAAACUGUGAAUACUGGAACUUGGAGGAAGCGGAUUAGUUGAGUUUUGAGGGGUUGUCUUGGUUUUGAAUAAAUAGCUUUGGUCGUUACGUGGAAAUCGGCCAAGAUGCAGGUCGAGAGGCAUCUUGUUAGGCGUCUGGACUCUUGAAGCGAAGUGGUUACUGGGAUAUUUUGUUAUGCUAUGAUGUAUAUAUAUGUACUUAGAUUUCUCUCCGCAUGACUUAUUCUUUUUGAUCCUCUUAGAGGUUUAUGGAGAGGCAGGAUUGUGUAUAUGUACUUUUGGGUUUGGAUACGUAUGUAUAUAUGUGUAAAUAUUCUCCGGCCAGUCUUGACUUCGCAGGCUGAGUUAGGAGCUUGAUAUUUUGUAUCUUUGGCACUCUAUUCCCACUUCUGUUAGCUUA